GUUUCUCGGAGCGCAGCACAGCCUGUCCCAUCGAGAAGCCUCGGGUGGACAUGGACUCCAUGGAAGCCUGAGCUGCCAGGGGCUUCCCUGGGGCAGCACUGCUUCGCGUAGGCUCACGAGAAACUUCCAGGGUUCCUGGCGCCAGCCUUUCAACAGAGCAGCACAUUAUGCCUGGAUAAGACUCAAAGAGCAGCUUAAUAUCAGGUUCUCUGGGGCUGUAAUCAUCGGUUCAGGAUGGAGCAGACACAGCCGCAGCAAGGCCUCUGUGCAGCCCCCGGUUUAAAACACAUCAACGCAUCCGUGGGCACUUUUCGUAAGAAAAAUCACAUCCUGUUCCCCAGUAGCUGAGGAAAGCCGGCUCACGAGAGUAUACAGGGAGAAGAGGCCAGCAUUGUGUGGCUGCCAGCAAAGCUCACUUGUAUGUCAAAUGCAGCGCUUUUCUUAGCCCAUUAUGUAUUUUUUUUUUCUUGAACACUCCUGUGUCUACUGGGAUCUCCUGUUUUUAUUGUUUUGGGAUGAGAUUUUAAAAACACCAUUUAAUGUAGCCUGUGUGCUCUUGUUCA
rnacentral:lncRNA from 1 species